CAUGAGCCAGAGCCUUCCUGGAGCAUCCAGACAUCCCAGGGACUCUCCGGAGAAACCCACUCCUUGCUGCAGUGACAGUGACAUUGCCCCAACACUUCAUUGGGGUGCAGCCAUCCCAAGUCCACCCUGAGCAGCAAAUAAUCUUCAGGAGUGCAGGCUGCACCCUGGCAGGCAGAGGUGUGCAUUUGGAAUGAAAGCUUCCUUCCUAAGCAGUUUCCCUAUAUUCCAGUAUUAAUGUACAGUGAAUGGUUUAAGGAAGGGUCAGGCAAUGGAAGCAACAGGUAUUUCUCAUGUGAUAGGGAGAAUGGCUUUAAAGUGAAAGAAGGCAGGUUUAAAUUGGACAUUAGUAAGGAAUUCUUCCCUGUGAGGGUGGGCAGGCCCUGGCACAGGGUGCCCAGAGCUGUGGUUGCCCCUGGAUCCCUGGAAGUGUCCAAGGCCAGGUGGGAUAGAGCUUGGAGCAGCCUGGGAUAGGGGAAGGUGUCCCUGCUGCCCAUGGCAGGUGGGGAAAAAGGUAGUCUGUAAGGUCCCUCCCAACCCAGCCAUUCCAUGAUUCUGUCCCCAGAGCAGAAGAAACCUCUGCCCUGAUCAGGGAAAGCUGAAAGCAUUUUGUGCUGCCCCUUGAUCCAAGGGCUGUUGCAGGCACUGCAUGGCAGGGACCGUCCUCUCUGGGGACCCCGGCCUGGGCCCCAAACCCUCGGAUUCCUUGGCACUAGAUGGAGCACGUGAGCUUCCACCAAGCAGAGCUGGAGGCGGCCCUGGAGAAGAUCCUGCACUUCUGAUCAGCUCUGUUCUGCUUUGGUUCUCCUGUCCAGCCCUGCCGGGAGGUACAGGGGCAGAGGGAGGUGUGGGAGCCUCAUUUUCCCCAGCAGAGCCUUCAGUUUGUGCCCGAGGGCUCUGGUCCGUCUUAUUUCCAUCCUCUCCCUGCCCCUGGCAUCUGCAGCUGGAUGGUUGUUGGCACCAAAGGCAGCAGGUGUGCUGGAGGAGGAAAAGGAAGAGGAAAAGAUCUGAUUGCCAUGGAGGAAAUUCCCCAUCCAUGGUAUCAUCCAGUUAGUAGAAUAAUUAGAUCUGCUGGAGGCAAGUUCAUCAAUGUGGGAUGCACAAUGAAUCCACCCUGGGCUCUGUCUCUGAUUCACUACAUGCCAUGAAUCCAGCAACUCAUCACUGCCUGGAGCUUUCCUGACUUCCCUGGCAUUUGCAGGAAGGUGCAUGGUCACCCUGUGGAAGCAGAUCUCCAGGAGAACCAUCCACCUCAUCCCUGGCGAGCAGAUCCAGGUUCCUCCACAGUUUUCCAGCAGGAUUUGCAGUGGGUGGUCACAGACUGGAGAGCUUGGCAGCUUUUUCAGUGGUGCUGUUUGCUGCAGGAAUCACAUAUUUUUACCCUUGUGUGGAAUAAUCACAUCCUGAUGAAAUCCAGGAUUUGUGCAGCCAAGCUGACUUCGCAAGUGCCACCACCCUUCGCAGCUGCCCAGACACCAACCCUGGAUUUCCUGCUCCUCUUCCUCAGCUCUUCAAAUCCUCCUUCCUAAACCAAUCCUGAGCCAGAAGAGCACGUCCUAGAGGACAGCUCCCACUCCAUUUUUUCCACACUGGGCAGCAGCUCCCACACCAGGAUGCCCUUAUCUCUGUACACCCCUGUGCACAGUGUCCUUGGCUGCCCCAGCCUGCCCUGAGUGCCUCACCUUGCAGAUGGAUCUGCAGCCCUCCCUCGGGGCACAGGGGAGCCCCAUGGAGCCUUUCCCUUCUCCCACCACCCUGUCUUGGAGCGUGUGGGAAGCUCAGUGCUCCUGGGAGGUUGGGAUGAGUCAGUGUUUGCACAUCCUGAGUCACUCCAGGGAGUUGCCAGAGAGGAGGGGGGGAUGCCCAGUCUCAUCUGGGGGUGUAAAUAUCCCAGGAAGUUCUGUCUGAAAGAAAAGUCCCAUUGAGAGAUCACCACCUUGUAGGGUUGCUUGGGCCACCACCAUGGACCAGAAGUGUCACUCCAUGAGGAAAAGUUGUUUCCUGCUUCCAUGUGAAUCCUUUCAGAUGGCCCACACCUGGUUAUUUGGGAGGGGUGCCACAUCCCCAACCCAUGGCUGUCCUUGGAAACUUCCUGGGACAUGCCAAGGGGUUCCUCUGGGCAGCUCCUUCAGAGCAAGUUUGUGGUACCAGGGCACCCAACACGCCAGGGAGGCCAUGGAGGAAUGCCAGGCAAGUUCUCAAAGCAGAGCUUUUGGGAUGUCUUUUGAGUAGAAUGAAUUCCCAGUCCUCCCACUGAUUGCAAUUUUUAUCACUGUUUUUUGGGCUUUUUUGAGCUAGAGAUGCUCCUGAGCUCUUGUGAUGGCUCUGGGAGUGGAUUGGCUCAGGAGUUCACCCCUGGUGCUCAAAGCAGGUUUAAGAUUUAAAAGAAAGAAUGGACACCCUUGCUGACACCCACAGGCACCUUGUUGUCCUCUGUGCCUUGAUGAACCCCCGGAGAACACCACUGGAUACUUCAAAUACACACCCAGGCUUUAGAUUUUUACCUCCAUUUCCACCUUGAAUGGGAUAAAUUCCCAGGUGAAGAAGAGCUGGAAGAACACCCCAGGAUUUUCUGUUCUCAGAGUCCCUGCCUUUAACAUGAGCUAAAUAUUCUGUGCUUGCUCAGAGCAGAGGCUGAGCAGGGAGUGAGGCCAGAAAAACAGGAGGUCAUGUCAGACUUUCUUUUUCUCUCCUCUUAACACUGAAAUAAAAAUACAUCUCAAGCUUGUUUUGGGAUUAACAAGAAAAAAUUCCUCUUGAUGGGAACCAUCUGUGGCCGGGAGAUGCCGGCUGCUCUCUGCUUCCCACCCUCACCCAGACGCUGUCAUUCGGGGUGUGUUCCUCUCCCAAAUAUUAUUCCUCUCAUCCCUGUGCUGGUGGGAGGAAUCCCAACUAUUUAAGGAGGCUUUUCUCCCAGCAUUUCAAAGCAGCAGCAGCUGGUGGCACCUAUGGAGGAUAAUAUUUGCUCUCCUCAUUACAGCCCCAGCGCCCAGCACAGCUUGCUGGUGGCUGCUGGGCUUGGAGGGGAAACACUGCAAGCGGCUUGGCUGUGACCUUUCCACCCCAGACGUCACCUCAGGGUCACAGCAACAUCUUGAGGCCUCUCUGGCCUGUCCCACAAACCAGGAGGGGAGAUUCCCUGGCUCUGCCUCUGCUGUGCUGCUGGAAAUGGGCGCGUUGGUGCUGGUCCCUUCAUGGUGGCGAAAAACGAGGACAUUUCUGGGGUGGACCUUGGCCCCAGCUGAGGUUUUGGGUGGGAAAUGCAAAUUCUGGGCUGGGUUGGCAGCAGGAGGAUGAAGAGGUGCAUUUGCAGCAUCAGGAACUCCAGAGGUUUGGAGCAGGGAGGAGCCUCCAAGGCCAGGAAGAGGAGAGGAAGCUCAAGGUGAAUCCAGCAGAAGCCAGGGCAGGUCUGGCCCGGGAGGAAAGGCUGGAAGUGUUGCUCUGCUCUGUCCAUGCAGCUGAGGAGGCUGCCUGGCUGAAACGUCUCCUCCUGGCAGGUUGAGCAGGAAUCUGGGAGCAAGACGAGCCCAACAGGUUCUGGGCUGUGAAAGCUCCUGGAUGGCAGCACAUCCCUAGCCUGGGAUCCAGGAGUGAACUGAAAUGGGCCCAAAUGAGCAUUUUGGGGGCUUUCCCAAACCUGGCUGGAUGAAGGAUCUUUGUGUGGGCCUUGACAUCUUCAGAGUGAUCCAGGCCUGGCUUGGGAGGUGGUUUGGAUUCAUUUGGAGAAAGUAGGGAGAAAGGAAUACAGGUGCUGUGCUUCACCCAUCAAAAAGCAAUGUACAGAUUAAAUUUGUAGAAAUUUAUAUAAACUGCUGGAACAGCAUAAUGUAGAACAACAUUAUAUUGUAACAGGAAGAAAAUGUGCUGGUUUUUUUUUUCUUUUUUUCAAAUUGUUUUAUUAGAAAUAGAGGGAAAUGGAUUCACAUAACAUUUU